rnacentral:rRNA from 1 species
AACUUUCAACAACGGAUCUCUUGGUUCUGGCAUCGAUGAANAACGCAACGAAAUGCGAUAAGUAAUGUGAAUUGCAGAAUUCAGUGAAUCAUCGAAUCUUUGAACGCACAUUGCGCCCGCCAGUAUUCUGGCGGGCAUGCCUGUUCGAGCGUCA